CGUUAGCGGCAAGGAGGGUCAGUUAUGGGACUUACACAUUCGUUGAAUGUCCUCAUGAUCAGUGCAGCGUUCGUGUUCGUGGCGACAAUGCUUUUCAUUUAAUGGCAGGAACGAGCAGUCCAGACGGUGAAUUCGAACUUUAAUACCGCACAGAAAUUGCAGCAU
rnacentral:sRNA from 1 species